ACCAGCUGGGUGGGCUUUGGUUCAAGGACACCGUCAACCAGCAGCCCUUCAGCGAGGGAGCCGGGGGACUCCAACCCUGAGCUCCCUGAAUUCCUGUCAUUGGAUUUCUUCCUGAUGCCUCCCACAGACCAAACACAGGAAGCCGGAGGGUGAGGAACCCAACAACGCAGUCAGCACACUGAGUACGAAGGUCAGGCUCUAACGCCAGCUGCGUGGCAGACAGGCAGAGGACGGGCGGAGCCUUCGUCAAGGGAUCCGGCACGAUGUGCAGUGCGGCACUGCUGUCUUAGAUAUCGGAAGCCGCCUGCGUCCAAUGCUAGGGGAUUUGCUGAGCAACUAAUCAUAGGUUCAUGUCUUAGACUAUAAUGAACCAUUGGAAAUUCAGUUUUGGAAGCAUUGUUUAUUAAGAUAAAAGAUGUUCAUCAUAUAUUGUUGAGUGAAACAGAAUUUUCUGUCCAGUUUUCUGCCCGUUUUUGGCUGUGAAUUUCAAGUGCCUGGAAGAGCGUACACUCCAACGUGAGCAGAACUUCUCUGGGGACGUGAGAUGCCACACUCUCAACAGGCGUAACUUUGCUUCUCUGUACACUCCACUUUUCCUACAGCGUGUGAUAAAAAAUUAAAUUUCUCUUUAGAAAAAUGAGAAAGAUGGCAUGACCCCAGAUGAGGGCUGUGAGUUAAAUCGGUGCUAUUCUUAACACUGAUCAGGAAGAUUCCUUAAAAAUUCCAUUAGAAGCCAGUUUCAUCUAUGAACAUAAUUGCAAGAUUCUUGACCAAAAUUCCAGUAAAGAACUGAGAAAUAACCUGGAAUUCCUGGCCAGUGCUCCUCAGCUGUCCUGAGCCGCCUCCUCCCCCCUCCCCGGGUGCAGCCCACACCUAAGUCCCCAGGGAAGCUCUCCAUCCUGCCUGCCUGAUGCGAUUCUCUUCGGACAUUGUGUAACCUCCCUCCGGCACUGAGUGUAUUCUGCUUGGCAGCGCAGCGCUCCGCGGUCUGUCUUCGGCAGGGACAGUCACCAUGCCCCCGUGCUGACGUCAGCUUCUUCAUGUGUGGUCUCCUCUCUGCCUGGGCCCCUUCCCCAGACGUCCCUGGGACUGUGUCCCCUGCUGCGGCCAUCGCUCCCGGACACCCUAGCGAGGUAACACUGACCCUCCCCACUCCUGUCCCCUUUGCUCAACUCCAAAGAUCUGUCAUCGGUGGGGUACCCAUGUGUGAGCCCAUUGUCCUCUUUCACUGCAGUGUGCCCCACGAGGAAGCGGGGUACCCACGUGUGAGCCCAUUGUCCUCUCUCACUGCAGUGUGCCCCACGAGGAUGUGGGGUACCCGUGUGUGUGUGUCCACUGUCCUCUCUCACUGCAGUGUGCCCCACGAGGAAGCGGGGUACCCACGUGUGAGCCCAUUGUCCUCUCUCACUGCAGUGUGCCCCACGAGGAUGUGGGGUACUCGUGUGUGUGUCCACUGUCCUUUCUCACUGCAGUGUGCCCCACGAGGAAGCGGGGUACCCACGUGUGAGCCCAUUGUCCUCUCUCACUGCAGUGUGCCCCACGAGGAAGUGGGGUACCCACGUAUGUGUCCAUUGUCCUCUCUCACUGCAGUGUGCCCCACGAGGAUGUGGGGUACUCGUGUGUGUGUCCACUGUCCUUUCUCACUGCAGUGUGCCCCACGAGGAAGCGGGGUACCCACGUGUGAGCCCAUUGUCCUCUCUCACUGCAGUGUGCCCCACGAGGAAGUGGGGUACCCACGUAUGUGUCCAUUGUCCUCUCUCACUGCAGUGUGCCCCACGAGGAUGUGGGGUACCCGUGUGUGUGUGUCCACUGUCCUCUCUCACUGCAGCGUGCACCCCAGCACAGGAGCUGAGAACUGAGGCUGCGUCUCCCCCAGGAGCCAUCACCACUGCCUCCCAGGGUGCACCAUGGUGGGAAGCCAGAGCCAGGGACAGGGCCGGGUGUGGACGUGACAUUGCUAGGGCAAACGCCCACCGCUCUAAUUUACGUGACAGAGCAGAGACAUUCAGGCAGCUGUUCUGGAGCCCAGGGCGGGCUGUCAGCAUUACCCCCUCUGCCUCCAGCCCCCUCCCCCGGGCCUUCAGUCAGUCCUUCUCCCUCCGGACCCCGGCCCAGCCCUCAGAACUGGGCGGCCCAGGUCAGGACGGCAAGUGGAGGCUCGUCCAGCAGACGUAGAAACAGCAGCAGCUACGUGCGAAGCAAGCAGCCUGUUCAGAAAAACAGGUCUCUUCCCUUGGCACAUACAGGGCCACCGGCAGAACUCUCAGCCCCCUGGAGCUGUGACCAGGAACGUGGCUUCCAGGUCGCCAGUGACCCCACCCAGAGCUGCCCCGCCCUCCUCCUCCCACCCCUGGUUCUUUGCUGCCCUCCUGCCGCAAAGCAAGCUUCACAUGGACAUGUGGACACCCCACACGUCCAUCCAAGGGCCACCUCUGCCUGCAAGCGGCCACCCUUGGGGCCACACGUCCCGGCUUUGGCCUACCCUCGGAGGACGCACUAUUGGAAGAGACCGGUGGCCUGGAGGGUGAGCCCGGGCCUGCAGGGGCAGGGUUCUGCAUGCUGGGCACCCGAGUGGGAGGGGCAUGGGCUCCUGGGGGGAGGGUUCCCUGGCCUUGCAGACCGCUUGUCCUGUGGGGAGUGGUGCAGCUGGAGAAGCUGAGUGGGGCUCUCAGACACCGGGCCUGGCACUGCGGUGCGGCGCCGCUGCUGUUCCCCACCAGCACAGGUUUGAGUCCCAGCUGUUCCCCCUGCUACCCAGCUCCCUGCUAAUGCGCCUGGGAAAGUGUUGGAGGAUGGCCCAAGUCCUUGGGCCCCUGCCACACACGGGAGAUCUGGAUGAGGUACCUGGCUCCUGGCUUCAGCCUGGCCCGGUCCUGGUUGUUGGGCCAUUUGGAGAGUGACCCAGCAGACAGAAGAUCUGUCUUUCUGUUUCUCCCUGUAAGUCUGCCCCUCAAAUAAAUAAAUAAAUCUUUUUAAAAAAAAUAUUUAUUUAUUUAUUUUUGACAGGCAGAGUGGACAGUGAGAGACAGAGACAGAGAGAAAGGUCUUCCUUUUGCCGUUGGUUCACCCUCCAAUGGCCGCUUCGGCCGGCGCACCGUGCUGAGUCGAAGGCAGGAGCCAGGUGCUUCUCCUGGUCUCCCAUGGGGUGCAGGACCCAAGCACUUGGGCCAUCCUCCACUGCACUCCCGGGCCACAGCAGAGAGCUGGCCUGGAAGAGGGGCAACCGGGACAGAAUCCGGAGCCCCGACCGGGACUAGAACCCAGUGUGCCAGCGCCACAAGGCAGAGGAUUAGCCUAUUGAGCUGCGGCGCCAGCCUAAAUAAAUAAAUCUUACAAAAAAAAAAAAAAAAAAAAAAAAAAGUUGGGGCCUAUCUGGCCUUGGUCCGAGGGUAGUUCUGGCCCUACCUCUGCUCUCUGCGGUCCAGACUGGUAGUCUGUUGAGGCGCUCAUCCUGCCCCUGCCCCCGGAGUCUGUGUGGUUUAACAGGAAAAAAGGCACCAGAGCGCCCCAGCUGGAGGUGAACCUCGGGAAAGAAACUCACCUCUCUGGCUGCUCCCGUACCUAGAACAUGAGGGCUGGUGAGGCAGCCCCUGCCUGGAUUCUUGUGUUCUCUCUGCUAUCCUUUCACACCAACAGGGGUCAGGUGCUGGAUGUGCUGCACAAUUUGGUAGCCAUGCCCUAAGGCUUUGUCUAAUCCUUCCUGAGACAGCAGCAUGUGUAGCUGGGGGCACGCAUGCCCACGCCCACGCCCACGCGCACACCCACGCGCACGCGCACCCUCUCCUGCCUUGAGCUGCUCACCCUUGUGUGCUUCAGUGUCGCAUGGACACGGAGCCCUGCAGCCGUCUUCCUGACAGAGGCAGGGUGCUCCACCCCGACAGAAGUCACACUUAGCUUUGUGCUUGCAGACCUGGGACACUAAGGAAUCCUAGGGACCUCGCUUCCUAUACAGAGUUGGUGCUUACGAGUCAUUGCUGUCAUCUCUAAUUGUGAUUCUGGACGGAACUGUGCCAUAACGGGUUAGGCUGACGCCUGCAGCACCAGCAUCCCAUAUGGAUCCAGCUCCCUGCUGUGGCCUGGGGAAGAAUAGAAGAUGGCCCAAGUGCUUGUGCCCCUGCACUCACGUGGGAGACCGGGAAGAAGCUCCUGGUUCCUGGCUUCAGAUCGGCUCAGCUCCCUCUGUUUUGGCCAUUUGGGGAGUGAACCAGUGAGUGGAAGAUCCUCUCUCUGUCUCUCCCUCUGUCUAUA